rnacentral:rRNA from 1 species
UACAGAGGGUGCAAGCGUUGCUCGGAAUCAUUGGGCGUAAAGGGUUGGUAGGUGGUCUCAUUUGUCAGGGGUGAAAUCCUUGGGCUUAACUCAAGAAGUGCCCUUGAAACGGUGAGACUGGAGUCUUGGAGAGGGUCGCGGAAUUCCCGGUGUAGUGGUGAAAUGCGUAGAGAUCGGGAGGAACACCAGAGGCGAAGGCGGCGACCUGGACAAGUACUGACACUCAACAACGAAAGCGUGGGGAGCAAACAGG